GUCUACCGCCAUACCAUCUUGAACACGUCCAAUCUCAUCUGAUCUUGGAAGCUAAGCAGGGUUGGGCUUGCUUAGUACUUGGAUGGGAGAAGUCUGUUGUGCAUU
rnacentral:rRNA from 1 species